rnacentral:rRNA from 1 species
GCUUGUCUCAAAGAUUAAGCCAUGCAUGUCUAAGUAUAAACAACUUUGUACUGUGAAACUGCGAAUGGCUCAUUAUAUCAGUUAUAGUCUACUCGAUAGUACCUUACUACUUGGAUAACCGUAGUAAUUCUAGAGCUAAUACAUGCUGUAAAGCCCGACUUUUCGGAAGGGCCGUAUUUAUUAGAUAACAGACCAAUAUUCCUCGUGUCUAUUGUGGUGAAUCAUAGUAACUAAUCGGAUCGCAUGGGCUAGUCCCGCGACAAACCAUUCAAGUUUCUGCCCCAUCAGCUUUCGAUGGUAGUGUAUUGGACUACCAUGGCUUUUACGGGUAACGGAGGAUUAGGGUUCGAUUCCGGAGAGGGAGCCUGAGAAACGGCUACCACAUCUAAGGAAGGCAGCAGG